AGUUAUUUAUGUACACUCUUCUUAUUCUAAUAGCUCUCUCAGGUCUAUGCAAAGUUACACCCCCUUUCUCUAUUGAUAUAAAGUGGAGUGUCUGUUUCUCUUUCACUCAGACUUAACAAUCCAGCUCCCACCAAUUCAGCUUCAACACAAAUCAUGUUCCCUGCAUCUCUGCUGCUGCUGCUGACAGCUGCAUCAUGUGUACACUGUGGACUUGAGUUCACCCAACCAAGCUCAUUGGAUGUAAAGCCUGGAGAGUCUUUGAGCAUCACCUGUAAAGUCUCUGGUUAUUCUCUGACUGAUAGCACCAACCUCCAUGGAAUAGGCUGGAUCCGACAUCCUACAGGAAAAGCACUUGAAUGGAUUUGGACCAUCUAUUAUGAUGGAAGCUCAAACUCUCAAAGUUCCCUAAAAGACAGGUUCAGUUUCACAAGAGACACUUCCAGCAACACAGUGUUUUUAAAAGGACAGAGUCUGCAGACUGAAGACACAGCUGUGUAUUACUGUGCUCGGUGGCCACAGUGAUACAAACCAGCAACAGACCAGUACAAAAACCUUAUACCCAUGGAAUGAAUCAAGCACAACACAACAAUAAGGCAUUUAUUUACCACCAGUAGAGACAUAAAAACAGUAGGACUGUAUUUGUUCAAAUCAAGUUCUAUAAAACAAAAUGUAAAAUGUUCUUACUGAUACAUUGGCACAAUAACAAACAGCAGGGUCUACACCAUGAGUCUUCACCAAGUCCAAUACAUUUCAUAACUGGCAAGAUAUGUAGUAAAUAGACCAACAAUUCUAAAGGAACAGCCAUUUAACACCAUGAAGAUGCAAAUGUUCUGUGUUCCAAGAGCCUACGUCUCCUCCCAUUCCAAUAGUCUGCUAUAAUAACUGAACCACACAGACCAUCUCCCUCAGUCACAACUGCCACUCCCAGUCUCCUCCUUUGUUUCGAGAAUCUUAGUAUUUACCCACAAUGAGAGUUGUAGAAUGUGUGUUCCUCCUGGCUCUCAUCACAGGUGAGUUAACUGGAG